rnacentral:rRNA from 1 species
AUUGAACGCUGGCGGCAGGCCUAACACAUGCAAGUCGAACGAGUGGCGGACGGGUGAGUAAUGUCUGGGAAACUGCCUGAUGGAGGGGGAUAACUACUGGAAACGGUAGCUAAUACCGCAUACCAUCGGAUGUGCCCAGAUGGGAUUAGCUAGUAGGUGGGGUAAAGGCUCACCUAGGCGACGAUCCCUAGCUGGUCUGAGAGGAUGACCAGCCAAAAUGGAAAUGUGACAAGGGCCCGACUCCUACGGGAGGGCAGCGUGGGGAAUAUUGCACAAUGGGGGCAAGCCUGAUGCAGCCAUGCCGCGUGUAUGGAGAAGGCCUUCGGGUUGUAAAGUACUUUCAGCGGGGAGGCGUUACCCGCAGAAGAAGCACCGGCUAACUCCGUGCCAGGAGCCGCGGUAAUUC